AUUCAAUUAGUUUAAUAAUAAAAUAUUAGAUUGUGGAUUUAAAGAAAUAAUUAUAUAUUGAAUA
rnacentral:tRNA from 1 species